AUCACGGAACAACAGGGAAACGAUUCCCCUAAAUCGGUCCUCUUCCUCACGAGUUUUGCAACCUCGCCUCCACGCCCCAUCCAAGCCGCCGCCCCUAAGUCCCGACCUCCUUCAUUGUUGUCCACCCACGCGCCUCCUCCACGUUGCCGUUUGUGCCUCCUCCCUGGUGCAGCCCCAGUCUGAGGCAGCAGAGGCGGAGACACAGGUCGUGCCGCCACAUCUGGAGAGAGUGCAGGGGGCGCAGGAUGUGGCUUGUGGAUGGGCUACUCGGGCAAAUGCUCCGACCCCCAGCCAUGUCGAGCUGGACAACGUCUUUGCGUUCGUCACCAGCGGCAGGUUGACCGACCUCUUCAGCUACCUAGCCUCUAUCACCGGCUCACCGCUCAACCCGUCGCCGGGUUGGCUCUCCUGGACCCAACACUAAGAAGCACAAAUAGGAGUUAGAGAGCAGGCAAUUUCACACUUUUUCCAGUUCACCCAAUGGUACUGAUCCUCGCCUAAAGGUUAAGUGAGAUGGGGACAUUGGUAUCGGUCUCACCAAAGCCGCUUGAUUGGAGCCGCUUGAUUGGGCCAGGACCCCAGGAUUAUUAUAUCCAGUGUAAGGUAUGACAUCCAACUUCCUUCACUACCACCACCUAUGCUCCCUUCUAUGUAUGUAUGCCAUUUACUUUUUGGCAUUCCUCUUAGUGCUAGACUAGAGUAUGUACCUAAUGAAUCACAUGGUACUUCAGCUGUUAAAUAUUUUGUCUCACAUAAUAAAUUCAAAUCUUUAAGUACAAUGCCUUUACAGAUCAAUCGGAUGUGGCUAUGUAGCAUCAUUAUUAUAUAUUUUAAACAUGUAGAUAUACCUCAGUUUACAGAUGAGUUAGAUCAUUUGCUGGUUUAUUGUAUUCAUAUGUAGAACGAAAGAAUGAAUUUUCUUUUCAGAUGUAUUCCUUAGAAUUCAUUGCUCAUGUUAAAUACUAUCUGCAGUAACAUGUGCAUAUUGAUUAUUAGCACUACCGUUUUCAAAUUUCACUCUUCAAAUUGUGGUCAUCUUUGUCUUCAUGUUCACUGGAGCUGGUGCAUCUGACUGAUGGCCCUGACAACAAGUUCACCACCUGAGGUCACCAAGUAGGACUGCACUAUUUGCUUCAAGCUACUAGGAUACAUCUGGUCAGUGAGUGGCUCAAUUCAUGGACGAUGCACUUGCUGUGAACAGGACCGUCGUGCUCACUGGUGGAGAGGUGAAGCAAGAGCCAAGAGGGGCACAAGUCGACAGUGGUGGCACUGGAUAUGAUGAAGAUCUAGAGAUGUCUUGUAAAUUUUGGCAGCAGCAGUAUGCAGGGACGGGGUUCAUCCACGCCAACGGUAGGAGAGAAGUUUCCAAUGGACAACAUCGCCGAUCCCGCAGGCAACGUGUACAGAGCAAGCAUGUCAUCGACGCAGGUUAAUGUUUGUGUCAGGAAGGAUAAAGGGAGGCAGGCCGGGAGAGGAACAACGCACCAGGUAUGGAGACGGCAAGUAGAGCAUGAUUGGCCAAGGAGCUCCACAGAGGGAGUGGUGGUGGAUUGGAGAGGAGAGCUCAGCAGCGGCAGAAGUAUGAGAUGUGCUUGAGGCCGAUCUAAACACAUCCGUUUGAGACGGAGCAUGGCACUUAAAUAGGAAAAACUGCCCAGACUUGUCAAAUGCAUGUAUUAAUGUCCUGUGCAGUCGAAGAUUGUGGGGAAUGGGAAGCGAGUGCGGCGUCGCCAACAGCAUGGAGAAGACGAAGUGUCUUUUUUCUUAGUGGAGGAGAAGACCAAUCGUCAAUGGUCGGUGGUGUCUCCCCAGGUAAAUGGAGAUAAGGAAAACAAUGACCUAGUUCUUUGGAUACAUGAGCAUGGGCCAGUUGGUGCCAUUUGGUGAGAGUAUAUAUACCGAGAAAACAUCACACAACCGACGUAUGGAAUUGGACUGGUAGUUUUCGCAGGAUCUGGAAGUGAGAGAAAGGAGAAGGGUAGCAAUAAUGAGACAAUGGGAGAGGAAGAGGGAACGUGCGGCAACUAAUCUAGUGUUGGCCGGCUGAAUUUCAAAAGGAGGCAAAUAGAUAGAAUCCUUGUGGGCCCACGUGAUGAGGUGGCAUGCUUGCAUGUUGAGAGAAAUCACUUAGUGGGUUGCUUCUAUUUAGUUAUU